rnacentral:rRNA from 1 species
UACAGAGGUCUCAAGCGUUGUUCGGAUUCAUUGGGCGUAAAGCGUGCGUAGGUGGCGCCGUAAGUCAGGUGUGAAAUCCCGGGGCUCAACCCCGAAACUGCACUUGAUACUGCGGUGCUCGAGUACUGGAGAGGAGAUUGGAAUUUACGGUGUAGCAGUGAAAUGCGUAGAUAUCGUAAGGAAGACCAGUGGCGAAGGCGAAUCUCUGGACAGUUACUGACACUGAGGCACGAAGGCCAGGGGAGCAAACGGG